rfam:Erinaceus europaeus unplaced genomic scaffold scaffold00946, whole genome shotgun sequence
UCUCAAUGAUCCAAUUUCGAUAGAUUCUUCUGAUCCUCCACUGUGGACUCAAUAGCAGAGAGAUGAAGAGGAAAGAAAAGAAAAGAGA